UACGAAGGGGGCUAGCGUUGCUCGGAAUUACUGGGCGUAAGGCGCACGUAGGCGGCUUUGUAAGUUAGAGGUGAAAGCCCGGAGCUCAACUCCGGAAUUGCCUUUAAGACUGCAUCGCUUGAAUCCAGGAGAGGUGAGUGGAAUUCCGAGUGUAGAGGUGAAAUUCGUAGAUAUUCGGAAGAACACCAGUGGCGAAGGCGGCUCACUGGACUGGUAUUGACGCUGAGGUGCGAAAGCGUGGGGAGCAAACAGG
rnacentral:rRNA from 1 species